UUAUUAUUUUGCUCUACGAGUGUGAUUCUAAAAUUUAGGAAGUGAAGGAAAUUUAUUUAUAAAUAGUAAGUGUUUUUCGUUGGUCUCUUUCGAGAGGUGUACUUGGAGUAGCUCAUCUGGACAAGUUCGUUCAUUUGUUGCAGGGAGCGGAGGUUAUAAUAACGGAUCUACCAUGUGAAUGACAGGGUGAAAUUCAUCUUUAUAGUUCUUUAGGUCAAGAAAAUGUGCAUUUUGAAGCAUAGAAAAUUGCGAAAGCUGCUGAAGUGGAAAACGAAAGGAUGCUAAAACACUUCCCAAACCUUCUAAGAACUGAGGUCAACACAUUGCCUCACAAUAGUAUAGUUCAAGUAGUAUUAACUAAUGAAUAUGCAGAGGCAUCGCCAAACAGGCGCUACGAACUCAAAGCUAUAUGAAAACUCUGCCAGAUGGCGAAAACCAAUAUGGCAACCUUACAAGCUGACGGAGAGGGACGAGUUUUUCUCCGGCAGGUCUCAGUCAGUUCUUCACCGAGAUAUGUAAACCUCGCUACCCGUAUCUGUGUUGGGGAAGUGUUGGACUAUGUUCUUUUUCUUAAACCGUUAUAAUGUAUUCAACUAUGUUGUUUUUUCUCAUUAAAUUUCUUUAU